rnacentral:rRNA from 1 species
AUAGGUUGAUGGCGACCGGCGCACGGGUGAGUAACACGUAUCCAACCUACCGGUUAUUCCGGGAUAGCCUUUCGAAAGAAAGAUUAAUACCGGAUAGUAUAACGAGAAGGCAUCUUCUUGUUAUUAAAGAAUUUCGAUAACCGAUGGGGAUGCGUUCCAUUAGUUUGUUGGCGGGGUAACGGCCCACCAAGACAUCGAUGGAUAGGGGUUCUGAGAGGAAGGUCCCCCACAUUGGAACUGAGACACGGUCCAAACUCCUACGGGAGGCAGCAGUGAGGAAUAUUGGUCAAUGGACGAGAGUCUGAACCGGCCAAGUAACGUGAAGGAUGACUGCCCUAUGGGUUGUAGACUUCUUUUGUAUGGGAAUAAAGUGCAGUAUGUAUACUGUUUUGUAUGUACCAUACGAAUAAGGAUCGGCUAACUCCGUGCCAGCAGCCGCGGUAAUACGGAGGAUCCGAGCGUUAUCCGGAUUUAUUGGGUUUAAAGGGAGCGUAGGCGGAAGCUUAAGUCAGUUGUGAAAGUUUGCGGCUCAACCGUAAAAUUGCAGUUGAUGCUGGGUUUCUUGAGUGCAGUAGAGGUAGGCGGAAUUCGUGGUGUAGCGGUGAAAUGCUUAGAUAUCACGAAGAACUCCGAUUGCGAAGGCA